GAGGGCACUCAGCCCGCAGUUCCACCCUGGGAAGGGAGCCAGAAGGAGCUUCCUGCACUCGGGUUUCCAUGACAACCAGUCACCCUAUUCAAUAAGACGCAAAAGCCACAGGCAGUGACUGGAACAUUCCUGAAUCUUCAGUCCUCAUUACAGGUAGGUCUUCUGCAGCGUUGGGGGCAGUGUGAGAGGGAUUCAGAGGAAAGAGAAUUCAUGUGAAGGGAUAAUGUUCAAACAAGCUCACAAUGCCACUCACCAGCCUCUUCCUCCUCACCCACACCCCAAGUAUCAUGGACCCAGGGUCCCAUGUCCAAGGAAGUCCAGAAACAGGCUGGGGGCAGCCUGGUGCUAGGUCCCAAACAAUACCGGUUCCCCUUUAUCAUUCAAUAGCAAUCCCCUCUUGACUCCUCCUGCCAGGUUCUCAGGCUCCUAUGUGAAAUAAGGGCCCUGCCCUCUGUGAGCAAUUAGUCUAGUGCAAGACCUAGACAGAUCCUAACAGCCAAUUAUAACCAGGGGGCAAGGGAGCACAGAGGCCAUGAGAGCACAGAAGACGGAUUCCCUCCAGGAAGUCUUCCCAGAGCAGAGGUACUUGAGCUGGGCCUGGGGUGACAAAAAUCUAGCCCAGUACAGAAGGGAGGGAAGGGCAUUCCAGGCAGAGGGCGCCACAUGCAAUAGGCUCAGAAGCAUGAAGGGGUAAGGUUAUUUUCGUAAAACGAAGUGAGGGAAGCAGGAAAGGCAGGCUUGAACUCAACGCUGUGAACUUUGGCUUUAUCCUGGGAGCAACCGGCAGCCCUUAAAGGGUUUUAAAAGGGUAUGACAGGACCCUAUUGUCAUCAUAGUAUCGAGGACGGAUAGGAGCUCGUUGCAAUAACACAAGGAGAGACCACAGUAAGGAGUACGAUGACUGAGGUGGCAGGGAUAAGAGAGAAGGGGACAGACUUGAGAGAUGUUUAGAAGGGCAAAUCCAUAGGACUCGGUGAGAGAUUGGCUGUGAGGAGUGUGAAAAGACAGGAGCGUUAGCCAGGAGCAGGUGUGGGAGUAGGGGAGGGGCGGCCACAACAGACCCUUGCCGGGUCAUGCGGAGGUGACCAAUUUUCCUCAUACAGAUGCUGGUGGUUGAGCUCCCUGGAGUGUGCUAUCCAGGACAUGUCCUCUCCAGGUCAACGCAGAAAAAGAAUGUUUCAAAGCCUUUUUCAGCAGGCUUCAACUACCAGGCGGGCAGUUUCAGCUGCAGUUCUGCCCCCAACUCCCACGCCCUGCUCUGAACUGAACCAGCCCUGGUGUCCCAGAGCCCCCGACCAGGGGCAAUCUGGGAAGCUAGUGUCUCUCCCUGCUGGGCCACUGGCUCCACAUCUCCCAGGCCAGUGGAGCCAAAUUUCUGUUUUAUGCUUUUUGUUUCCUUCUGGUUAUGUGCUUGUCACAAAGUUAUGUCUGUGGCUGUUUGAUUGGAUAGUCUGAGGUUGUAUCAAUAAGAAGUAAACUGUAGAGAAAUCAAGGUGAUGAUUACAAAUCUUAAAAAGGGGCUCUGGGGCUUCCCUGGUGGCACAGUGGUUAAGAAUCCGCCUGCUAAGGCAGGGGACACAGGUUCAAGCCCUGGUCUGGGAAGAUCCCACAUGCCACGGAGCAACUAAGCCCGUGUGCCACAACUACUGAGCCUGCACUCUAGAGCCCGUGAGCCACAGCUACUUAGCCCACGUGGCACAACUACUGAAGCCUGCCCACCUAGAGCCCGUGCUCUGCAGCAAGAGAAGCCGCCACAAUGAAAAGCCCACGCACUGCAACGAAGAGUAGCCCCCACUCGCCGCAACUAAAGAAAGCCUGCACGCAGGAACAAAGACCCAAUGCAGCCAAAAAUUAAAUUAAUUAAUUAAUUAAUUUUAAAAAAAAGGGGGCUCUGGAGUCAGACAUAACUGUGUUCAAAUCCUUACUCUAACUGGCUGGGUGUCUCUGGGCAGUGCCUCCCCCAGUUAACGGGAUCCUCCGACAGUCCAUGCCCUUCUGCUCACACUUCUUUCCUCCCUCAAGCGCCACUCCUGUCCACAUUCAUCUCCUGUUCUCCUUCAUCCUCUCCAGUGCAAGACCACACUCCUGCCCCCACUAAUUGAUCCUGGUAAGGAGUCAUAGCAGGCUCCUGAGGGAAGUGUUGGGGCCCAGCUGCCUUCCCAUGCCCCCUCCCUUCAUUUCCAGCCCCCAACCUGAUCUCCCAGCAGGUGCCAGGCCUGUCCAUCAGGGACCAGAGCUUACCUGCCUCAUCUGCAGACUGCACUGGUGUACCUGACCUAGAUCGGGGCCCCAAGGCUGAUAUCCACUUCUGGUCCUCUUAUUCCCUCUUCCAGGAUCCCUCCUCGACCCCGCACACCCCAACACUCACUGGGAGCUGGAGGAGGGAGGUGUGGCCUAUGAAGGAGCCUGGAAAAGGGGGCGGGGCCAGGCCUGAGAAGCUACGAGGCAAACCCUACCCCUGGGCCCAGACAAUCCAGACCCCCUCCAGGAAGGCCCGGGGGAACCAGAGAGGGGUCGCAGGCUGGCCGCCCUGCAGAGUCCGGGCACCCCGGGCCUGACCCACGCCCUGCCUGGUGGAGUCACCCCCUGGCCUGGGAGGCUCCCAGACUCAGCACCCACUUCCUGCCCGGGGCGGGGCCUGCGGCCACAAGCCAAGCGCCGUAAAAUUUAAAGAGGUGAGAGAGACACUUCGCAGAAACCUCAGCAGUGCGGGGAAAUGAAAUAAGGCCUCCCUUCGGGGCGCCCGCCCCCGCCUACGCCGCCCCGAGCCCGGAGCCACCUCGGAGGGUCCAGAGAUGAGUGAAUCGGUGCCCCCCUUUGGGACUGCACAGUGGAAUGGGGAAGAUGAGAGUUUGAUUGCUACCAACUUCAACUGGUCUACCCGACCGUGGAGCAUCGUCCAACGAGAAAACUCCAGCACAAAACUUCGCAAACCACUUGUAACACGUUCAAUCAGUCACAGCACCUUCUCCAUACACUGCACAAAUCUUUCUGUGCAUUUGAGUUUUUACCUUUCUUGAAAUAAUAAAGUAUA